UACAGAGGGUGCGAGCGUUAAUCGGAAUUACUGGGCGUAAAGCGCGCGUAGGCGGCUUUGCAAGUCGGGUGUGAAAUCCCCAGGCUUAACCUGGGAACUGCAUUCGAGACUGCAUUGCUAGAGUAUGGGAGAGGGAAGUGGAAUUUCCGGUGUAGCGGUGAAAUGCGUAGAUAUCGGAAGGAACAUCAGUGGCGAAAGCGACUUCCUGGACACUUCCUGACACUGAGGCACGAAAGCUAGGGGAGCAAACAGG
rnacentral:rRNA from 1 species